UCUCUUCAAGGGAUUGGGGAGAUAAAUAAAUAAAUAAAUAAUAUUUUGUCUCUUCAUAGGAUAAGAUCUAGAUAUGCAGACCAGAGCUAUAAUAAUGCGUGAUAUUAUGGAAGUAGCAGGAUAUUAAGAGGCAGACAAAGAUGUAUGUCAGGAGGUGAAUAAAUAAAGACAGUGAACCAUUCCUUCUACUCUCAGAAGUAAACAAAGCUGGUCAUUAAAGAGAGAUGUGAUCUCACUGUGUUGCCCAGGCUGAUCUCAAAUUCCUGGCCUCCAGCUAUCCUCCUGUCUUGACCUCCCAAAGUGUUGGGUUUACAGGAUUACACAUGAAUCGUAUAUGUGAGGCACUCUAUACCUUCUUCUUUUUUUUUUACCAAAGGUAAGAUACUCCAGGUCAGAUAACUUACCUUAUUUAUCUCUGUUUUCUUAAUAU
rnacentral:lncRNA from 13 species